rfam:Caldisalinibacter kiritimatiensis strain L21-TH-D2 NODE_149, whole genome shotgun sequence.
UCCACCGUGAGAUGGAAUCUGAAGGAAGCCUUAGGCAAAAUCUCGGUCUGAGGAAAACGAACCUCAUACAAGGCUUGCUUGGAAGGGACGAGCUUGAAUAACAAAAUGAAGUCCAAUACUAUCUGAAUUCCAAGGAGUAAUGAAGUGGCAAGGGGACGUUUUGAGACCACUGAAAAAGUC